rnacentral:misc_RNA from 1 species
GAUGAAGAACGUAGUGAAAUGCGAUAAGUAAUGUGAAUUGCAGAAUCCAGUGAAUCAUCGAAUCUUUGAACGCACAUUGCGCCCGCCAGCAUUCUGGCGGGCAUGCCUGUUCGAGCGUCAUUUCAACCCUCGACCUCUCUUUGGGGAAGUCGGCGUUGGGGACCGGCAGCACACCGCCGGCCCUGAAAUGGAGUGGCGGCCCGUCCGCGGCGACCUCUGCGUAGUAAACCAACUCGCACCGGAACCCCGACGUGGCCACGCCGUAAAACACCCAACUUCUGAACGUUGACCUCGAAUCAGGUAGGACUACCCGCUGAACUUAAGCAUAUCAAUAAGCGGAGGA